rnacentral:rRNA from 1 species
CAGCCGCCGCGGUAAUACCGAGGAUGCAAGCGUUAUCCGGAAUGAUUGGGCGUAAAGCGCACGUAGGCGGCUGUGUAAGUCAGAGGUGAAAGCCCGGGGCUCAACCCCGGAAUAGCCUUAGAGACUGCAUAGCUUGAACACGGGAGAGGUGAGUGGAAUUCCGAGUGUAGAGGUGAAAUUCGUAGAUAUUCGGAAGAACACCAGUGGCGAAGGCGGCUCACUGGACCGUUGUUGACGCUGAGGUGCGAAAGCGUGGGGAGCAAGCAGGAUUAGAUACCCCGGUAGUCCCUGUCUCUUAUAC